CGGAGUCCCAGGCCGGCGGGCCGAGAGCGGGCAGCGAGGGGCCACUGCCAGCGCCAAGGCGAGGAGAUGUGCCCUGAGGAGGGCGGCGUGGCCAGGCUGGGCGAGCUCCACUCCUGGUGGGAGGUCCCGGCCAUUGCGCACUUCUGCUCGCUCUUUCGCAAGUGUUCCGCCUGCCCGACUUCGAGAUCUAGAUGAUUUUACAAUAAAUGCUCUUAAGAAAGAAAAAAAUGGAGAGAGGACUCAAGAUGGUGCUGUGAGAACAACCCAGGAUUGGAGCUCUCAUUGAAUCCGCAAAGAGAAAGAAGAAAAAAGGAAGUAAACACCAUCAAUAGAAUUAAAAGGAACAAAGAAAGAAGAAGGAGGAAGAGGAGGAAGAAUAAGGAGGAAAACAGGAGGUGGAGAAGGAGGAGGAGUUGAAAAAUCGAUUGGAAAGUUUGGAAAAAAAGAAAGC
rnacentral:lncRNA from 13 species